rnacentral:rRNA from 1 species
CUCCAGACUCCUACGGGAGGCAGCAGUGGGGAAUAUUGCACAAUGGGGGAAACCCUGAUGCAGCAACGCCGCGUGAGUGAAGAAGUAUUUCGGUAUGUAAAGCUCUAUCAGCAGGGAAGAAGAAAGACGGUACCUGACUAAGAAGCCCCGGCUAACUACGUGCCAGCAGCCGCGGUAAUACGUAGGGGGCAAGCGUUAUCCGGAUUUACUGGGUGUAAAGGGAGCGUAGACGGCAUAGCAAGUCUGAAGUGAAAGCCCGGGGCCCAACCCCGGGACUGCUCUUGGAACUGCGCGGCUGGAGUGCAGGAGGGGCAGGCGGAAUUCCUGGUGUAGCGGUGAAAUGCGUAGAUAUCAGGAGGAACACCGGUGGCGAAGGCGGCCUGCUGGACUGCGACUGACGUUGAGGCCCGAAAGCGUGGGGAGCAAACAGGAUUAGAUACCCCAGUA